rnacentral:lncRNA from 13 species
CUGUGCCACAGGGAAUGCGGCUAUACCAUAUCUGGCUGGGAGGACAACCUCAAAGGAAAAGAGCUUUGUCGCAACAAGCUGCUACAAUAAAAUGCUACAGAACUUGGACUCACAAAAACGUCCAAAUUUCACUUUCACAUGAAAUCCAAAAGGUCACACGACCACACGGCGAAUAACUGCCAGUCUUCUCCACCUUGGCUCAAGCAGAAGCUGUGCUUGUGUAGAUUGUGAGGUAUCCAUACAUCUUUCAGACAACCACUGCCUGCUACAAUCACGCCGCCCAAGCAGAAGCUGUGCUUGUGUAGAUUGUGAGGUAUCCAUACAUCUUUCAGACAACCACUGCCUGCUACAAUCACGCCGCCCAAGCUCCAGGGCCAUUGUUAGCAUCAGUGUCUUUGUGCAGUGUGUGUGUGUGUGUGUGUGUGUGUGUGUGUGUGUGUGUGUGNNNNNNNNNNUGUGUGCGUGAACAGGUAAAAGAGUGUGAGGGUACACCACAGGUAAAGCAGCUAGCUCAACAGAAGCCCUCCCCCCUCCUUUCUCUCAAAAUUAUUCCACCACUCCAAGCAAAGCAGUGAAACCAAUUCAAUCCUGGCCAGUGUCCACCAUAUUCUCCCUCCCUCUCUAUGUUUUCUGGUGUUGGUGGGAGGGUCCAUUUCCACAUCCAGGGAGUUGGCAGUCAGUGAGGUGUUAGGGAAGCGCUCCUGAUAGAGGGUGGUCUUCAGGGCAGAACGAGGGUCGGGACACAGAGAAUUCCCUUCUUUGACGGAAGUCAUAUCUCCAGAAGGUACUUGGAAGGGACUAGACCUCUCUUCUUCCCACUGCUCAGCUUUAGGAAACCGUCCAACUCUUCGUUCUUCCCCACACAGAUCUAGUUUGAGAAAAGAAAGGUGUGUGUUUAGUACAGGUGCUUGUGUGUGUGUGUGUGUGUGUGUGUGUGUGUUUGUGUGUGUGUGUGCGCNNNNNNNNNNGUGUGCGUGAACAGGUAAAAGAGUGUGAGGGUACACCACAGGUAAAGCAGCUAGCUCAACAGAAGCCCUCCCCCCUCCUUUCUCUCAAAAUUAUUCCACCACUCCAAGCAAAGCAGUGAAACCAAUUCAAUCCUGGCCAGUGUCCACCAUAUUCUCCCUCCCUCUCUAUGUUUUCUGGUGUUGGUGGGAGGGUCCAUUUCCACAUCCAGGGAGUUGGCAGUCAGUGAGGUGU